rnacentral:lncRNA from 1 species
GCGGCCGCCCGGCCCGCUUGACAUACCAGAAAUAGCUGCACACAAUUGUACCUUUCCCGGCCAAGAAACCUCCCCCGCUGGGGAGCGCGGCCCGCCGCCCUCACCUGAGCCCCGGCCAGCUGAGCCCGCUACCCGCUCUCCCGCCGCGAUCCGGCCCAGCCGCCAGAGAGAACAAGGAUAAAGAAGUAUCCAAAUACAAAGAAAAUGUUAUGCAAGUGACCUUUAGAGAUGUUUUAAAGAUGACAAAAUAUUGAUGAAGAUGGGCCAACAAGUGUUACUGUUACCUCUAAUAAAGUUUCAUCACUAGUUUCACCAUGGUUAAUUGGAAAUGGCUUCCGCCCAUCUGUGGAAAACAGACAAACAAUUGAAUGCUUAGCUGUUUUUACAGGAUAAUGUGCUUUCAACUUCCAUU